rnacentral:rRNA from 1 species
UACGGAGGGUGCAAGCGUUGUUCGGAAUUACUGGGCGUAAAGAGUGCGUAGGCGGUUCGGCAAGUUGGAAGUGGAAUCCCGGGGCUCAACCUCGGAAUUGCUUUCAAAACUGCCGAUCUAGAGUAUGGUAGGGGAUAGUGGAAUUCUUAGUGUAGGGGUGAAAUGCGCAGAUAUCAGGAGGAACACCGGUGGCGAAGGCGGGUCUCUGGGUAACAACUGACGCUGAGGAGCGAAAGCGUGGGGAGCGAACAGG